rnacentral:rRNA from 1 species
UACGAAGGGUGCAAGCGUUAAUCGGAAUUCCUGGGCGUAAAGGGUGCGUAGGCGGUUGUUUAAGUCUGUCGUGAAAUCCCCGGGCUCAACCUGGGAAUGGCGAUGGAUACUGGACAGCUAGAGUGUGUCAGAGGAUGGUGGAAUUCCCGGUGUAGCGGUGAAAUGCGUAGAGAUCGGGAGGAACAUCAGUGGCGAAGGCGGCCAUCUGGGACAACACUGACGCUGAGACGCGAAGGCGUGGGGAGCGAACAGG